rnacentral:rRNA from 1 species
UAUCCUCUGAAUAAGCCUCGGCGAACUACGUGCCAGCAGCCGCGGUAAAACGUAGGAGGCUAGCGUUAUCCGGAUUUAUUGGGCGUAAAGCGCGUGCAGGCGGUUUACCAAGUUGGAUGUGAAAGCUCCUGGCUUAACUGGGAGAGGUCGUUCAAAACUGAUAGACUAGAGAAUGGUAGAGGGAGGUGGAAUUCCGGGUGUAGUGGUGAAGUGCGUAGAUAUCCGGAGGAACACCAGUGGCGAAAGCGGCCUCCUGGGCCAUUUCUGACGCUAAGACGCGAAAGCUAGGGUAGCAAACGGGAUUAGAGACCCCGGUAGUCCUAGCCGUAAACGAUGUGGACUUGGCGUUGGCGGAGUUAAAUCUGCCAGUGCCGUAGCUAACGCGAUAAGUCCACCGCCUGGGGACUACGACCGCAAGGUUAAAACUCAAAGGAAUUGACGGGGACCCGCACAAGCAGCGGAGCGUGUGGUUUAAUUCGAUGCUACACGAAGAACCUUACCAAGGUUUGACAUGUAAGUGGUAGUGAUCUGAAAAGUGAACGACCCUUCGGGGAGCUUACACAGGUGCUGCAUGGCUGUCGUCAGCUCGUGUCGUGAGAUGUUCGGUUAAGUCCGCUAACGAGCGCAACCCUCACUGUGUGUUACAAGUGUCACACGGGACUGCCGGUUCUAAGCCGGAGGAAGGCGAGGAUGACGUCAAGUCAGCAUGGCCUUUAUAUCUUGGGCUACACACACGCUACAAUGGUCUGUACAAUAGGUUGCCAAGCCGCGAGGCGGAGCCAAUCCUAAAAGCAGGCCUCAGUUCAGAUUGCAGGCUGCAACCCGCCUGCAUGAAGAUGGAGUUGCUAGUAACCGCAGGUCAGCUAUACUGCGGUGAAUACGUUCCCGGGUCUUGCAUACACCGCCCGU